rnacentral:rRNA from 1 species
GCGAACAGACGAGGAGCUUGCUCCUCUGACGUUAGCGGCGGACGGGUGAGUAACACGUGGAUAACCUACCUAUAAGACUGGGAUAACUUCGGGAAACCGGAGCUAAUACCGGAUAAUAUAUUGAACCGCAUGGUUCAAUAGUGAAAGACGGUUUUGCUGUCACUUAUAGAUGGAUCCGCGCCGCAUUAGCUAGUUGGUAAGGUAACGGCUUACCAAGGCGACGAUGCGUAGCCGACCUGAGAGGGUGAUCGGCCACACUGGAACUGAGACACGGUCCAGACUCCUACGGGAGGCAGCAGUAGGGAAUCUUCCGCAAUGGGCGAAAGCCUGACGGAGCAACGCCGCGUGAGUGAUGAAGGUCUUCGGAUCGUGAAACUCUGUUAUUAGGGAAGAACAAAUGUGUAAGUAACUAUGCACGUCUUGACGGUACCUAAUCAGAAAGCCACGGCUAACUACGUGCCAGCAGCCGCGGUAAUACGUAGGUGGCAAGCGUUAUCCGGAAUUAUUGGGCGUAAAGCGCGCGUAGGCGGUUUUUUAAGUCUGAUGUGAAAGCCCACGGCUCAACCGUGGAGGGUCAUUGGAAACUGGAAAACUUGAGUGCAGAAGAGGAAAGUGGAAUUCCAUGUGUAGCGGUGAAAUGCGCAGAGAUAUGGAGGAACACCAGUGGCGAAGGCGACUUUCUGGUCUGUAACUGACGCUGAUGUGCGAAAGCGUGGGGAUCAAACAGGAUUA